rnacentral:rRNA from 1 species
GUAGUCAUAUGCUUGUCUCAAAGAUUAAGCCAUGCAUGUCUAAGUAUAAGCAAUCUAUACGGCGAAACUGCGAAUGGCUCAUUAAAUCAGUUAUCGUUUAUUUGAUAGUACCUUACUACUUGGAUAACCGUGGUAAUUCUAGAGCUAAUACAUGCUAAAAACUCCGACUUCGGAAGGGGUGUAUUUAUUAGAUAAAAAACCAAUGCCCUUCGGGGCUCCUUGGUGAUUCAUAAUAACUUAACGAAUCGCAUGGCCUUGUGCCGGCGAUGGUUCAUUCAAAUUUCUGCCCUAUCAACUUUCGAUGGUAGGAUAGUGGCCUACCAUGGUUUCAACGGGUAACGGGGAAU